GAACAGCGGAGCAAGGUGGCCAUUUUAUUUUCUCAAAGCCACACUACCUGCUGCUACACAGGACAUAAAAGUGCAAAAUUCCACCAGGAAGGGAAACAAAACAGUCUUGAGACAGCCAUGUCUCAGAGGUGAAGAUUGGAGGAGAUUUUAAUAUAGGGUGUGAAUUCCAAUUCACAUCUCUUCCAACGGGACCUCUUUCCGAAGUCCCGGGAACUAACAUUCAUCAACACCUCUGACAUCCCAGAGGAUCGCAACAUUCCUGCCAAGGGUUAUUACUCCCAUUUCCCAGAUGAAGAGAUUGAGUCCCUGCAGCACGCAAUUAGACAGUAGCAGAACCAGAAUUUGAACUCUGAUCCACCCCGAUUCUGGGACCUGUGGAGCUCCAGGUACCGAGAGCUGGCUCUCGCCUGGGGCCUUGGAGUCUGGGUAGCUGGAUGCUGGGAGAGGCUGCGGAGGUAAGGGCCCAGGGGCUGAGGUUGCAGCGGCUGCCCGGGAAUGCGGCCCUUGCACGCCCACUUUUUAACACAGUGCCAUCCCUGACAGACACCCUUGUCCUUUUCCUGUGCUGCCCUUCGUAACACCAUAAAUAAAGCCUUAGAGUAACGUGACCUGAGCCAGGCAGUAAAUGAUGGCACUGUCAGUUGUACACGACUGUUGAAACAAACACAGACUGUAAUCAUCGUGCUGUACGGGGAGAAAGACAUUUGGCAAAUGAGAUUCCAUUUUCACAUUGGUUUGUGCUGAGCAUAUAAAUUUCCUGCGGGCCGGCCAGCAUUGGGGAUGUGUAAUUGAUUGCCUGCAUUAUAAUAAACAAGCUGUGACAGGUGAUCAUUCAUCAUAUUCCGCUGAACGUUCCAGCACACCAGAAAACGGAGGAAGAGAGGGAACGCGCGAGCAAGGGGAGAGGAGAGGAGGAACCUGGGGGAGGGAAUCCGCUGAGCGGGCGGGGGAAAGUGAAAGCAAUUACUAUAAUUCUUUUGAUUAUCUAAUUUGUUCUUUCUGGCCUUCGUUAUAUGACCCUCCCCCCCUCCCCCCACUCCAACAUAGAAGGUCCCCCACGGGGACUUGGGAAGGCACAGAGAACGCUCCCUCCA
rnacentral:lncRNA from 10 species